rnacentral:rRNA from 1 species
CCUACGGGAGGCAGCAGUGAGGAAUAUUGGUCAAUGGGCGGAAGCCUGAACCAGCCAAGUAGCGUGCAGGAUGACGGCCCUACGGGUUGUAAACUUCUUUUAUACGGGAAUAACGCGCCUUACGUGUAGGGCUUUGCAUGUACCUUAUGAAUAAGGACCGGCUAAUUCCGUGCCAGCAGCCGCGGUAAUACGGAGGGUCCGGGCGUUAUCCGGAUUUAUUGGGUUUAAAGGGUGCGUAGGCGGCAUGUCAAGCGUGCUGUGAAAUGUCCGGGCUCAACCCUGGCCUUGCAGUGGGAACUGGCGGGCUUGAGUCCGCGGAAAGCAGGCGGAAUUCGUGGUGUAGCGGUGAAAUGCUUAGAUAUGACGAAGAACCCCGAUUGCGAAGGCAGCUUGCUGCAGCGGAACUGACGCUGAUGCUCGAAAGCGUGGGUAUCGAACAGGAUUAGAUACCCCAGUAGUC